rnacentral:rRNA from 1 species
GUCCACGCCGUAAACGAUGGAUACUAGCUGUUCGGGGCAACCUGAGUGGCUAAGCGAAAGUGAUAAGUAUCCCACCUGGGGAGUACGUUCGCAAGAAUGAAACUCAAAAGGAAUUGACGGGGGCCCGCACAAGCGGUGGAGCAUGUGGUUUAAUUCGAUGAUAUGCGAGGAACCUUACCAAGGCUUAAAUGUAGAUUGACCGGUUUGGAAACAGAUCUUUCGCAAGACAAUUUACAAGGUGCUGCAUGGUUGUCGU